GAUGAAGAACGCAGCGAAAUGCGAUAAGUAAUGUGAAUUGCAGAAUUCAGUGAAUCAUCGAAUCUUUGAACGCACCUUGCACCCUUUGGCUAUUCCGAAGGGUAUGCCUGUUUGAGUAUCAUGAACACCUCAACUCUCAUGGUUUGCCAUGAUGAGCUUGGACUUUGGGGGUCUUGCUGGCCUGUGGUCAGGUCCUCUCAAAUGGAUUAGCUUGCCAGUGUUUGGUGGCAUCACAGGUGUGAUAACUAUCUACGCUUGUGGUUUUCCACCAGGUAACCUUCAGCAAUGGGGGUUCGCUGGGGCUCAUAAAUGUCUCUCCUCAGCGAGGACAGCUCUUUGAACGUUUGAUCUCAAAUCAGGUAGGACUACCCGCUGAACUUAAGCAUAUCAAUAAGCGGAGGA
rnacentral:misc_RNA from 1 species